AAAAUAUCUUUACCUCCAAAAUUUUAGAGUGUUCCAAACUGCAUUAUAAAUUGAUUUAAUGAAAAAUAAGCUUCUAAGUAUCUGAGUCAUGAAAGAAAAUAAGCCUCAGGAGCCUAAGUACUUCAGUACUACAAGACCUGAAAGAUAGCAUUCUCAGCAGCUGAAGAAGCUCUAUCGCUGUCUGCAGGGGCAAUGGCACUAUGGCACUAAAUGGAGUAACUCCUAGAUCUGUAGGUGGAGCAACAGCAACCAGAGAAUGCAGCGAGUGAACAGUGAUGUGACGGUUGGACCAACUGCUGGAGCAGAAGAAGGGACUAAAUGCUCAGGGGCACUGCCUGAGGCUGCCUGGGACUUCCAGAAUUUGUGCAACACUCACAGUGACAUACCAGCACAGCUUUCCAUGGCUAGUUUCAAUGAUGUCUUCUGGCACAUCUUCCAGGCCCCCAUGACCCCACAUUGUAUGGAAAAAGGGGCAGCUAGAAACCGCGCUUGUAUAAGUGGAGGAUGCAGAAUUCCAGGAAGGCAGAAACUGUAGGCUUGUGAGUUUUGUGACAGGAUGAAUGCUCUUUCCCUGCUUGCACCUGUGCAUUUACAGAAUGUAUUUAAUGCCCCUAUAAAAGGUGAGGAGAAACAAGUUUUCUCACACUAUAUUAGGGACACAUCAGAGUUUUGAGUUGGGUUUUGACCAGAUGACUUCCAAAAGUCACUUCUAACCUAAAUGAUUGUGCCAUACUACUCAAUUAUUCAAUGAUAUUAUCAUAUUUGAGCUUUCAGAAUUACAGGCACGAAUAAUCACGUGUGUAUCCUACAGAUUCUAUUCAAUCAAGAGUAGUGGAUCAACAUCCCUUGAGGCACUGGGAUUAAUAUUUCCAUGCUCUAUUGCUCCCAUUCACGAAUUUAGGUUGGGCAAAUGGUGAACAAAAUUACAGACGCAAGCACACACACGCAUCCUGUGACUCCCAAAAUCAGAACCCUGAUCCUGUAUCCUCCAUAAAUAUUUUCUACCUCACAGCAGGAUAUAAUCCAUUUUUUUCUCCUACUUAUCACACACCAUCAUCCUUUUAGCUGGUCUCAUUCUCAGACAUACCUGAGUAAAUCUCACCACUCCAACACAUGGAAUAUGUCCUACUCCUAUUUUCUGAUUAAGAAAUAUACUGUGAGUUUGGAGCAAUUAAAAUGCUACUUCUAUGUACCAUCUUUAAAUGUUUUGUAUAUCACCAGUAACACAUUGCAAAAAGUGCCAUGAACCCUCUUUCAUUCUGUGCAUUAAAAGUAGCUAUAUUUUCAAAAUUAUCUGUACAUCUUAACUGCCAUAACCUCAAUACUUGAUGUUGAUUCAUCAUCCAUGAAGAACUUUUGAUAAAGAGUAAAUAUCUCUACCUUCCAUGUCACAGGUACCUGUUGAACAGGGCUAUUUUGAGCCUAUUAUGCAGGAAUCUGAGUGUUAUGUGAAAUAGAUACCAUCUCCCCAUAAUCCAGAAAAGGUAUUUGUUUUUUCCUGUACUCAAAUUUCCCUGAGAAUUUGCUCCAAGGAGGUAAGUACCUCUAGUCUUUUCCCAUCUGAUGUUAGACACUAGAUAUCCUAAGAGAACUUUGUACUACCAAAAAAAUGAUAAGGAAAACAUAGCUAUCUGCUUUAUAGGAUUUGGGGUUCACCAGUUGAUCUAUAAAAUCAUUUGCUUAGGGAAUGGCACCAAUCUGUCUUGCAAAAUUGCUCUGGCAAUUUAUGCUUGUUCAAAUUCACAGACUUUAGUGAAGCUAAUCUUCAUUUAAGAAUAUAUGUCAAGUCAAUCAACUUGAUUUUAAGGUAUUAAAUUGUUCAUCGUUCAUACUUAUUCAUCUUUUUACUAUUGAAUAUGUAUUUUGUGACUAAUAAAAGACCCACUUAGUAUAUUUUGAGCACAUUUUUUUAUGCCAGCAUAACAUGAAAUGUGUACAAAUAAACCACAACUGAAAAUGAACAAAAAUGUUGUAAUGAAUUAAAUGAACAUUUUUAAUUUUGAAUUUUCUCAUUGAUACAUUUACACAAAAAAUAAAUGUUUCAUUUAAAUAUUUUUUCCAUUUCUCAUAAACUGUAUUGUCCAACAGAAUACUAACUGUAAAAUUUCAAUCAACUACAGAAAUUAAAUUUUGAAGAUUUAAACAUUUUUCUCAACUUUUUGCUAAAAAGAUAAAAUUUUUGCCUGAAAUGAGCAGUUUAUAUGCCUUCACUGACUAUACAUCCCUGCUACUGAAAUCAGACCAUUUGUAUGAAAAGCAAUAUUUUUGGAUCAAAAUGAGAUUUCCCCCCCCAAAAAAAAAGUACAUUUUAAAAAAUUCUAACAACUUUUAUCCAAACUUAAUUAUUUUUCAAAACCUAUGUUCUCUAAUUUAUAUCAAGAUGCUUUUUAUCACAUUCUUUGUUUCACAGUCUGAUGCUUUCAACUAAACUAGCAUAUACAAUUUGUAAGAACAAAUGUAUUUGUAUUAAAAACACUGGAAGUUAAUUUAAAC